UUCAACUGUACAACGGAGGAUGGGAAUGAAGGAUCCAUGUUUCCGGAAACCAUCCCGUCAACACUCCUGCAUGCGCUAAGACGGGCAGGUCUUAGGGUGUGAGGCACAGGUAGAUUGGGCAGAACGAAGGCUGAAGCCAUCAGGUAUGCUGACGAUAUGCCCCACGGCUGAAAA
rnacentral:ncRNA from 1 species